rnacentral:lncRNA from 1 species
GGAAGGCCCCCGCCCUAGAAAUGGCUGAAAGGGUAGAGGAAGAGAAACAGUUGAGGAAUUGUAACGCCCACGGGACUCUCCAUCUGGCCUUUUAGAAACCUGAUCGUCAUUCACAGAGUCACUGGCCACUUCUUAAGUGUUACACAUCCAUGGUUGCAUUCCAAAGUCUCCAAACUAAAAAUAGUAAACUAAAAAAACUUGCCUCUGACACCUUGUCAAAUUCUCAUUCUUUAUUUCAGUUUGUGCUUCAAGAAGUCUGAAUUAUUCUACCUACUAGUCCACCGGAGAGUGCUCCUCCUAAGGCUACCCCAGUGACAUCAUAUGAUGGAGUGCAAGGCUCACAGUUUAGACUUUAUCUUACGUGAUGGUGAACUGCAUCCUUCUUGAAGGUUUUUAUCUUUCCCCUCAGACCCCUUAACCUAUAUGUCUUUCUCUUCAGGUAAUUUUUCUCAGUCUCUUCAAUCCUUAUCUUCAGUUUUAGGUGGCUCAUAGUCCUACUACUGCACACUAGGCAAUCUAACCAUUCUCCUGCUUGCAAAAGCUGAAUGUACGUACAUUUAGUGAGAUCCAGAUCUGCAUAUGUGCCUUUUGGACAGUCCACUUGCCUACCAACGCCAUGUCCAAAUUGGACCUCCUAUGCUUUCUGAAGUACACAAAAUGUGCUCCUCUAUUCCUUUUCUUCUUUGACAAUAUCGCUGUCCACUCACUUUCCCAAGUCUAGAACCAGGGGUAAUCCACCAUCCACUUCCUCACUGCUUCAAAAUAUCUCUACUUGUAGAGUGAUCUGGAAUGCCCCCGAAGUCUAGUAUGUUAAAAC